GAUGAACGCUGGCGGCAGGCCUAACACAUGCAAGUCGAGCGGCAGCACGGUCAGAGCUUGCUAAUGCCGAUGGCGACGGGCGGACGGGUGAGUAAUACAUAUCCAACCUGUCGUCCACUGUUGAACACGGUACUGAAAGGAUGAUAAAUACAAAUAGGCAUCACGGGUUGACACAUUCGCAUGAUUAAGGCUAUUCGGGUAGACGAGAGGGAUGCGUUGUAUUAGAUAGUUGGGGAGGUAACGCCCCACCUAGGCUACGCUGCGUAGGGUUGCUGAGAGGGUGAGCAGCCACACUGGAACUGAGCCACGGCCCAGACCCCUACGGGAGGGAGCAGUGGGGAAUCGUACACUAUGGGCGGAAGCCGGACCUAGCAACGCCGCGUGGGUGAAGAAGGGCUUCGGCUCUGAAAUCUCUAUUUUUUGGAAAGAACAGUAGUGUAAGGAACGUAUCACAGUUUGACGGUACCUAAUGAAUAAGCAACGGCUAACUCCGUG
rnacentral:rRNA from 1 species